rnacentral:lncRNA from 1 species
CUAAAGUUCCCAGGCCCUGGGUCAAAUCAGAGCUAUAGCUGCGGGCCUCCACCACACCUACAGCAGCUGGCCUACACCACAGCCAUGGCAACACGGGAUCUGAGCCACGCCUGUGACUUACAUCACAGCUCACGGCAAUGCCGGAUCCUUAACCCACUGAGUGAGGCCAGGGAUUGAAACCCCAUCCUCAUGGAUACUAUUUGGGUUCAUUACUGCUGUGCCACAAUGGGAACUUCCAGAUUUCAAUGUUAAUCACAUCCCAAGUGCCCUCCCUGACACUCCCUGAAUAAUGUUGGACUGACUAGCUUCACACCCAGGGGCCCAGUCAUGCUGACACAGAAUUAUCCAUCUCCAGGUAUGGCCAGGAAUUGUCUCACUUUGGGAGGGAAGUUUUCAGAGCUGGCAUGUCACUUACUACUGUCCCAUUUUCACGCCUAGGUGAUGGUGGAGGAGCCUCAAGUGUUAGCCUGGGUCCUCAAGUGUCCAUCAUACACCAUAUUCCUGGCCAUCUUUGACGUGCGUGAGAAAUAAUUUUUUUGUGUGUUAAGACAAAGAUGUUGGAGCUAUUUUUCACUGCAGCAAAAUACAGCCUAUGCAGACUAAGAUUAAAUGUGAGAAGAGGGGUUUAGAAGCUGAAUCAGAACUUGAAGAUUCAGAGCACCAUGUGAGAUGCUUGGAGGUGCUUGGAGAUGACCUAGAACUUGUGCUGAAAGGCAGCUCCAGGAUCAAGCUGCACAUGAGUCCAGCCACGACCUGGAGGAAUUGGUUAAAAGAUAGACACAUGUUUACAUCCUGCCUAAUGGGACCUGGAAAAAUGUUAUCAGAGGGCUGAUGGAGAAAAAACGUUCCUUCUUUUAUAUAAAGAAAUAAGAUAUAUCUUGACAAAGAAAGCUCUCUUCCGUCCUUCCUUUUUAUUUUUGGAGGUGUUUCGUGAAGACUACAACAGCCCUCUUGCAGGCAUGAGGGAGAGGCUACACAGAGAAAUAGAUCCAAAAGCCGG